UUAUAUUAUAGAGUAAAUGACCAGAUAACUGGAUAUAUUGAUAAGCAAGUAAAUGACCAGAUAACUGGAUAUAUUGAUAAGCAAAUAAAUGACCAGAUAACUGGAUAUAUUGAUAAGCAAGUAAAUGACCAGAUAACUGGAUAUAUAUAUGAUAAGUAAAUGUUUGAACAAAUAUAUGAAUAAAGAUUUAAAGCAAUGAAUAUAACCUCAGAUAGUUGACCAGAUAACUGGAUGAGGGAUCUGCGUAAAGUAGUCAACCUCUGUAUUUGACCAGAUAACUGGAAGAGGGAUCCUUUUCAAUUAAGUGUUGUUUAGUUGUUUUUAGAUGAAAGAUAAAAACUAGAGUCACUACAAAAAACCAGCGCAGUUCUGGCGCCCAUCUCCCGGCGGCCUGGCCGCCGGUAGAUACGACCGGCGGCCAGGCCGACGGAAGGUUACACUUGUCCGCCUGCAUAAUUUUCCCUCGUAAAUGAGAGAAAUUUUCUAGCGGCCAGGCCGACGAAAUAUUUUUUUGUAAAAAAUUCCAGCGGCCUGGCCGCCAGCUUCAAUUUCACCAACGGUCGGGAAGAUGUGAUCCGGCGGCCUGGCCGCCAGCUCCAAUUUCCCCAACGGUCGGGAAGAAGUGAUCCGGCGGCCAUACUAAAACCCUCAACGGUCGGGAGAAAAAUAGCUGGCGGCUUGGCCGCUGGAUACUUUUUCCCGCUUAUUUUUUUCAGUAGUCGGCGGCCUGGCCGCCAGGAUUUUUUGGAAACCCUAAAAUUACAACUUGCGCCGCCGUGGUCCCCCGUACAGUCAAAUUUAGUCAACUCGAACUUAAGUGUUUCCCGACGGCCUGGCCGCCGGAAAUUUUUUAUAUAAGUCAAAAAAUUUCAGACUUUUCUCAUUUCUCCCAACGGUUUCCUCACUUCUCCAAACUCUCCCAAACUCUCCCAAACUUCUCCCAAGGUGUCGAAAGUUCUCCCCAAGGGCGUUUGUAGCUUCUCCGGGCGAUUUGAUUGAGCACUCCGGCCAUUCCUCCCCAAGGUAAUAAUCUCCCCUUCUUGAUCUUCAACUUCAUGUUCUACUUCCUCAUCUUCUCCAUUUUAUAAAUUUUUAUCAUCUUUUCCUAUUCUUCUACAUUGUCUAUGUAUGUAUGUAUUUGUUGGUUUAUAUAUUGGGGUUAGAUGUUAGGUUGAUUUUGGGGGUUUGAUUU
rnacentral:lncRNA from 1 species